AACUAACAAGGAUUCCCUUAGUAACGGCGAGUGAACAGGGAUUAGCCCAGCACCGAAGCCUGUGGCCAGUUGGUUACUAGGCAAUGUGGUGUUCAGGUCAUUCCGCAGAGACGCUGCUCCACUCUAAGUCCAUCAAUGAGUACGGUAGUACAGACUUGGCCCACAGAGGGUGAAAGGCCCGUGAGGGUGGAGAAUCAGGCAGGUCAGUGUCUCUCUGGAUAGACCUUGGAGUCGGGUUGUUUGUGAAUGCAGCCCAAAGUGGGUGGUAAACUCCAUCCAAGGCUAAAUACAAGCACGAGUCCGAUAGCGAACAAGUACCGUGAGGGAAAGUUGAAAAGUACUUUGAAGAGAGAGUAAACAGUGCGUGAAACCGCUCAGAGGUAAACGGGUGGAGUUGAACUGCAAGCCCUGAGAAUUCAGCUGGUGAGUGUGGUUUGAGCUUGGUCAAAUUGGUUGUACACUGGGGUCUGCGUAGUAGCAGGUCUCUGCCCUCGGGCGGGGAUGCGCGAGGCACUCAUCAGGUGUUGCGCGCUUCAGUUGUAUUCGGGCCUGCUCGCCAGUGCAUUUUCUCUGGGUGUUCACCACGACCGGCGCUGCUGUCUGGCUGUCAUGGUUAAACCGGUCUUGCUUUGUCCUUGUGGCUUUGCUUGGUCGGGAUGGCAGGUAGCUUGUGGACUCGUCUGGGGCAACUUGGACAAUGGGUCUUCAGGUGUAAUCAGCUGACUGUGAUGGUUCUGUGCAGUGUGUCGGAGACGGCGGCUUGUGGUAUGAACGCGCGUGCCUUGUCUGCUGGCUUGUUCGGGUUUGGUUGCUAUGUUGCUUGUUUCUGCAAGCCUAGCGAUAGCCUGGGCCUGUUGGCGGAUGGUUAUGUGCGGGAUGCUGUUCAGGGCCAAUAGUCUGUGGUGUAGUGGUAGACUUUCCACCCGACCCGUCUUGAAACACGGACCAAGGAGAGUAACAUGUGUGCGARUCAUUGGGCGUAACGAAACCCACAGGCGCAGUGAAAGUAAAGGUCUGGCUUGUCCGGACUGAGGUGAGAUCUUGUCGUGUCUUACGCGCGGUACCACCAAGCAUUGAACGGCGAGCGCAUCACCGGCCCGUCCCAUGGCGUAGUCACAUAGGCUUUGUCCCAGUGCACCGCCGGGGCGGAGCAUGAGCAUACAUGUUGAGACCCGAAAGAUGGUGAACUAUGCUUGCGCAGGUUGAAGCCAGAGGAAACUCUGGUGGAGGACCGUAGCGAUUNUGACGUGCAAAUCGAUCGUCAAACGUGAGUAUAGGGG
rnacentral:rRNA from 1 species